AUUGAACGCUGGCGGCAGGCCUAACACAUGCAAGUCGAACGAGUGGCGGACGGGUGAGUAAUGUCUGGGAAACUGCAUGAUGGAGGGGGAUAAAUACUGGAAAGGGUCGCUAAUACCGCAUACCAGCGGAUGUGCCCAGAUGGGAUUAGGUAGUAGGUGGGGUAACGUCUCACCUAGGCGACGAUCCCUAGCUGGUCUGAGAGGAUGACCAGCCACACUGGAACUGAGACACGGUCCAGACUCCUACGGGAGGCAGCAGUGGGUAAUAUUGCACAAUGGGCGCAAGCCUGAUGCAGCCAUGCCGCGUGUAUGAAGAAGGCCUUCGGGUUGUAAAGUACUUUCAGCCGGGAGGCGUUACCCGCAGAAGAAGCACCGGCUAACUCCGUGCCAGCAGCCGCGGUAAUUC
rnacentral:rRNA from 1 species